rnacentral:rRNA from 1 species
CUGAGAAGCGAAAGCAUGGGGAGCGAACAGGAUUAGAUACCCUGGUAGUCCAUGCCGUAAACGUUGGGAACUAGGUGUGGGUCUCAUUCCGCGAGAUCCGUGCCGCAGCUAACGCAUUAAGUUCCCCGCCUGGGGAGUACGGCCGCAAGGCUAAAACUCAAAGGAAUUGACGGGGGCCCGCACAAGCGGCGGAGCAUGCGGAUUAAUUCGAUGCAACGCGAAGAACCUUACCAAGGCUUGACAUAUACCGGAAACAUCUAGAGAUAGGUGCCCGCAAGGUCGGUAUACAGGUGGUGCAUGGUUGUCGUCAGCUCGUGUCGUGAGAUGUUGGGUUAAGUCCCGCAACGAGCGCAACCCUCGUUCUAUGUUGCCAGCACGUUAUGGUGGGGACUCAUAGGAGACUGCCGGGGUCAACUCGGAGGAAGGUGGGGAUGACGUCAAAUCAUCAUGCCCCUUAUGUCUUGGGCUUCACGCAUGCUACAAUGGCCGGUACAAAGGGCUGCGAAACCGCGAGGUGGAGCGAAUCCCAAAAAACCGGUCUCAGUUCGG